CUGGCGUCACAGUGAGCCUGUACUAAAAAUCCCAAAAAACAACGCCGUAUCGUGGAAUCAAACUCCAAACCCUACGGUAGAGAGUUUAGCGUUCCUUAUCACUUGAGCUGCUUUGUGAUUACAAUCAAUAGGCUGCGUGAAUAAUUAAGAACUAUAUGUAGUGACAGACCCAAAAAUAAAAAUUCAACCAUUGAACAUUUUUUGAUAUAUGUUGAACGUUUUUGUAAUAUAUGAUGAACAUUUCUCAAAUACACAUUGAACCUUUUUUUUGGGAUAUAUGUUGAACAAUUUGAAAAUACAUAUUUUAAAUUUUUGCGGGAUACCCUGAACAAUUUGAAAAUACACAUUGGACAUUCUUGUGGUAUAUGCUGAACAUUUUUUAAAUACACAAUGAACAUUUUCUUAAUACGCAGUAAACAUUUUCUUAAAUAUAUGAUGCACAUUUUUGUAAUACGGGAUGAACUCUUGUAUACUACACAAGAAAUAACGAAAAUUAAAAAUAAACAGAAGAAACACAGACUGUUCAUCGUAGUACAGUACUAACGAAAAAAAUGCACGAUGAAACAUUUCCUUAAAUGUAAAAGAGAAAGAAAAAAACAAAAAUAACGUAAAAGAACUAGAAAGGAAAACCAAAAAGAUAAAACGUAACAAAAAGGCAAUAGAAGAAAAGGAACAAAAAACCAAAGCAGCGAACGCGAAGCACGUCAAAUAGGAUUUGCCCUUGCUGACGCUCGCGCGCGUCAAGAAGACGAGCAUUCGGGAAUGGCCCGGCGCAUUGCCUGGCGUCACAGCGAGCCAGUACUAAAAUUCACAGAAAACCACCCUGUAUCAAGGAGUCGAACUGUAUAGCGAAGCUGCAGCAGUUUGACGCACGCGGGCGUCAAAUAGGGUUCACCCCUGUAUCGGUGCUGUCAAAAAAAGAGAGGUGGUACUAGAGUAUAUCGAAGUCCCCGUCUCGGGCCUUUCGGUUAUCCCCGGCGGCUCACAAGACGCCGUGGCCGGAUUGCCAUAUACUCUCCCCACCCCACCAUAGUCGUCGAUCAGGUCCUAUUUGUGCUUGAUUUGAUUUGGGUUCUGCUAGACAGACGCCAUAUCCCCGGCUCACAAGUCUCCUAUACAUAAAUCCAGUGGGGAGAGAAGGCUCUUCUUAACCGUACAAGAUUAGGGUUAAGAAAGGCUCUGGAUUCCUCUUCGGAAUAGAACCCAAUCUCGCCGCCGUCCCAACAUAAAUCCAGUCUUCCUGUAGACUCUCAGUUUGCGGUUUAUAUAUCUGUAGUACAGCCAAUGUUUCCUCUUCUGUUUUGUUAGUUCGUUAUUAUAUAUCCGACCCCUUCCCUUGCGACUAAAUUGCAGCGAUGGGAUCCGCCGUCUCUUCCGCCAUCGCCGACGCAGCAGUGGAGUUUUUACACCUUGACGGGCAGAUCGUGGACGAGGACGAUCCCCACGGGGGGCCCUUCUCCACGAGCUGCCCCUCGACCAGCAACAACGCCAUGUCCAACGCUUCAUGGACAGGUUGGAGCGCAAGCGUCGCCUCAACCUCGUCUUGUACGGCCCCCGCUCAGAAGUGUGCUGCUCCCUCCUAUACAUCAUCCCACGCAGAUUGGCUUCAUCCGCCAGCUAGCUGUUCCAUUAUUGAUAGGAGCGCAACAAAGCCAUCGUUCUCCCACAUGUCCAGAUCGCCCUUCGCCACUACAAUUCGAACAACCCGGGUGCAGAGUUCGAGCUUGUCAGUCCUAUGUCGUGCAACCGUGUCGGAUUCAGGGACGAGAUUUGGUUUCACUUCAACUUUUUAGCUCGCCGGUGCCUCAAAAAGCACAACUUCUGGGCUCGCGGCAGGGUUGCUCCAGAACCAGAUACCUCUGACCAGUAUUUCUUCGCUGAGCUACACUAUGACCGCUUCGGCAAACCAGUUGUCGAAACGUGCACUAUAUUGGAAAAACCGAUUUGCCAAUUUAAAGGAAAGUGUGCCUUUUGCAAGGGCUCAGUUGGGAUUUGGCACCCUAGGAACGGAGGAUUUUUGUGUGGAAGGGAGGGACAGAAAAAGAAGUAUUGUCAGAUGUUUAUGUUGAGUGAAAGGCCCAAGAAAGGACCAGAGGAGGAACCUUCUUCAGUUCGAAGGCUAUUUGAUGAGUUGCCACUAGCUGCCUAGCUAGCCGUGGGUUUGGAUUCAUAGAUUAGCUAAUGUACAACAAGCUGGUACUGUUUGCUUGUUUAUCAAAAUGUAUUAGUUAGAGAAUACAUUAAAUGUGAAUAAUUGACUGUAUAAAGAAUCAUCAUAUUUCAUAACUACAUGUGUUGAGCA